AUUGUUUCUUGGCUUUUUGGCUAAGGGAAAAUGUAUGUCAUUAUCAGUUUAAUAUCUGAUAUGGCCUAUAUUCAAGGUUGGUAUAGUAAAUGGGGAUUUUUGGAGCAGAGAGAUGGAAUUUGAGCUUGCUCUAUGUAUGUAUAUAGUUUGCUUUAACUGUAUGUAUUGACUGGGGCUUGUCCUU